rnacentral:lncRNA from 1 species
AAUGGAGACAGGGUCCUCUGGUACAUGCUGCUUAAGCUUGUGUUUUUAUGGGGCCCUUUCACUGAAAGCACAUAAACUUCACAUGCUUUCUCAGGAAGCGCCUUCCAUGCCUUUCCCACACUGCGCUAAUAAGUCGGGUGGAGUCCGUCUUGAAAGAGAGCAGUGAUUGAUUGUGUGUGUGUGUUGAGAACCGUGAGACUGACUUUCAUCAAGCUGCUCCAAGCCGAUUAUGGCUCUUUCCGAAAGGUGUACUAACUGCAACCCACACGGCAAGAAGGAACAAACAGCCAUCACUGAGGGCGGCUUCCCAUGGCAGCGACACCACCACUGACGGAGCACGCGCACAGAGGAGACCCGGGUCUGAGCCCAGCAGCAAGAGAAGCCCAAACAGCUUCAAGAAUCCCAGCAAGAUUGUCAGUCUCAGUGAAGCCUUUCUGCAAAACCAAGACCUGAGCUCAAGGAAGCUGCUAUUUAAAACCAGACGUGAGAGUCAAAGACAAUUAUCCAUUGAACAAGUACUUCAAAAUGGCACUAGGCAAGUUUUACUUCAUUGAAGUAUCACAAUCACUUCACGAAAUGUGUAAUGUUAUUUCCAUUCUACAGCUGGGUAAAGGCUUGAGGAUGUCACAUAGCUUGCCUGAAGUUCAAGUACAAGCAAAUGGAAAAGCCAGGGUUGGAAUCAAGUGACCACACUGUAUGCUUACCUACUCUCCCAUAUUGCCAAUAAAAUAAAGUCUAUCUGAC